rnacentral:rRNA from 1 species
CCCUUAGAUGGUCUGGGCGGCACGCGCGCUACAAUGAUGCAUUCAAAAAGUCUUCUGACCUUAGAAGGUUGGGUAUUCUCCAAAGUGCAUCGUGAUGGGAAUAGUUUAUUACAAUUUUUAAUCUUGAACGAGGAAUUCCUAGUAAGUACAGGUCAUCAACUUGUGUUGAUUACGUCCCUGCCCUUUGUACACACCGCCCGUCGCUCCUACUGAUUGAGUGUCUCGGUGAAUUCUUUGAUCUUCUGUCGAUUCAGUUCACUGAUCCGACGGUGGAAAGUUGAAUGAACUUCGUCACUUAGAGGAAGGAGAAGUCGUAACA